rnacentral:rRNA from 1 species
AGAAUCAACGCUGGCGGCGUGCCUAACACAUGCAAGUCGAACGAGAAAGUGGGAGCAAUCCCACGAGUAAAGUGGCGCACGGGUGAGUAACACGUGACUAACCUACCCUUGAGUGGGGGAUAACCUAGGGAAACCUGGGCUAAUACCGCAUAAUACCUACGGGUCAAAGGAGCAAUUCGCUUAAGGAGGGGGUCGCGGCAGAUUAGUUAGUUGGCGGGGUAAUGGCCCACCAAGACAGUGAUCUGUAUCCGGCCCUGAGACGGGGCGUCGACCGGAACGGACCGACCUAGGUAAACGUGAAACACGGUCCAGACUCCUACGGGAGGCAGCAGUGGGGAAUUUUGCGCAAUGGGGGAAACCCUGACGCAGCAACGCCGCGUGGAGGAUGAAGCCCCUUGGGGCGUAAACUCCUUUCGAUCGGGAAGAUAAUGACGGUACCGGAAGAAGAAGCCCCGGCUAACUUCGUGCCAGCAGCCGC